rnacentral:rRNA from 1 species
GACGAACGCUGGCGGCGUGCUUAACACAUGCAAGUCGAACGAAGAGCGAUGGAAGCUUGCUUCUAUCAAUCUUAGUGGCGAACGGGUGAGUAACGCGUAAUCAACCUGCCCUUCAGAGGGGGACAACAGUUGGAAACGACUGCUAAUACCGCAUACGAUCUAAUCUCGGCAUCGAGGAUAGAUGAAAGGUGGCCUCUACAUGUAAGCUAUCACUGAAGGAGGGGAUUGCGUCUGAUUAGCUAGUUGGAGGGGUAACGGCCCACCAAGGCGAUGAUCAGUAGCCGGUCUGAGAGGAUGAACGGCCACAGUGGGACUGAGACACGGCCCAGACUCCUACGGGAGGCAGCAGUGGGGAAUCUUCCGCAAUGGACGAAAGUCUGACGGAGCAACGCCGCGGGAGUGAUGACGGCCUUCGGGUUGUAAAGCUCUGUUAAUCGGGACGAAAGGCCUUCUUGCGAAUAGUGAGAAGGAUUGACGGUACCGGAAUAGAAAGCCACGGCUAACUACGUG